CCGGAGGAGGAAAAAAUCAAAGUUUCCAAAUCUGGAAACUUUCUCUCUCCCGAGCCAUUUUCUGGGCUCUCUUUUGUCCGGCCAUAUCUUCCUCCACAGACCUCCAAUCGACUUGAUUCCAAAAGAAAAUUUUCUCGUCUUGAAGUCAUUUACAACUUCCCAGAAGAUAUCGAGGUGAAAUACGAACUGUGAAGAGCGCCACAAGGCCGAGAAGCUGCACAGCUCGAGCUGAAAUCUCCCGAGCUGCUCCUCCCUUCGCCGGCUGAUUUCUUCCUCCUCCGGCCACCAUAGGACGCGAUUCAAAGUGGGUUCUCUUCGCCUCAAUCCCCUCUUGAGGUUUGUGGAAGAAUUGGAGCAUGAAACGAGCUGUGGAGGGCGGUGCAAGGCCGAGAUGUUGUACGGUGGAACUGCUAUCGCCUCAAAUCGCCGGGCUUGGUUCUCCCAGCUCCGGCCACUAUAGCUCGAGAUUCUUGAGGGAUUUUCGGCUUUUCUAGCCCAGAAGACGUAGAAGCUAUACCCAAGAAGGCUUGCAGCGAUUCGAUCUGUGGUGAUCGAAUUUUGGAGUUUGUGAAACUAGGGUUUUUCGAAUCCAUUGGCUUGCGAGAAGCUCUCUUUCUAUCAUCCACCAUAUAAUUAUUAAUUAACAAGGUAUGUUGAAGGCUUUACUGUUCUUUUUACUAGUAUUUUCUUAGUGCGUGGGAGGAUGGAGGAAGUAUCUUGGUUUCUAUGGCUUUUUGACCACCAUGACCAUAAUGAUGUCUUUUAACUUUUUCGUAGGCUUGGAGUUCAGUUUUCUCACAACAAAGUUUGAAUGAGGCAAUAGUACCUCUUUGCUUUUAUCUGCUACCAAAGCACUCAUGCUCUAAGUCUCCAACCACAUCAUGAUUCUAUUUGCAAUCAUGGCUGGAUACACCCAAAAACCCAUCAAGUCAUGUUUGUUCACACUUCACACAGUACUUCACAAUAAUUCUAAAUCUACCUAUAUGGCUAUAUCUAUCACUCUCUCGUCUCUCCUAUAACUUCUGAUCACUAAAUUCACAAAGCAAGCCGUAAACAAAAUAGAGAAAGCAAAGACUGUGAAGAAUUGGAAGAGAUGCGAGCUGGAGCAGAGAAAAAGAGUUGAAGACUCAAUACAAUAAUAAGCUUGGUUGAUUUUAAGCUCUACAAGGUAUGUUGAAAUUUAUAUAUAUUGUUGGUUGCAUGAUUUAUAUAUACGAAAAGGUAAUUAUAUUUUAAAUUGUUCCCUUGUUAUGAGAUUUAUUAUUUAUGAAAAUGUCUAGUAAUCAUGUUUUUGUAAUUUAUGAAACUAUUUAGUAUCACUCAGUAGAUAAAAUAUUGUAGUCAGCACUCACUAGAUAAUUUAAUGGAUGUAGGAAGUUAGAAAUAAUUUAAUGGAUGUAGGAAGUUAGAAACAAUCAAAGAUAUUAAUCUUAUUUAGUGCCUACCUAUAUUCCAUACAUAAAUUGUCAAGAUGUGUUCUUCAAUUAGUUUCAAUAGGUAACUACAAUAUGAAUACAAAUUAAGAUAAUAAUUUUAAACGUAAUGAGAACACUUUAGUAGAAAUAAUUUGUUCAUAAAUUUUAGUUUGUUUUUUGUAGUUGUCUAGUUUUUUACAUAAUGGCAAGUUCUGACCCUGUGGGGAGCAAAAAAGACCCAACUUGGAAUUAUGCUUUUCCAUAUCAAGGCCAAACUAAAGGUACAGUAUGCAAGUUUUGUAAUACGGUUAUAAAGAGUGGUGGUAUCACUCGAUUUAAGUUCCACUUGACUGGAUUAGAUCCUGCCAAGAAUACACGAGUUUGUGAUAAGGUGCCACCAGAAGUUCAAAAAUUAGUAAAAGAAUGGAUGAGGAGAAAAUGUACUGCAAAAUAUCAAAAGGAUUCAAUAAUCCGUGAUACUUGAGAAGAAUUGUGAUCAGGGUUAUCACAACAAUUGAACUCUGAAGAUGAAGAUGAAGGUUUUGUAGGUCAGCAUGAUGUAGAUCCCCGUGAUUAUAAAGCUACUAUGAGAGCAUCAAGACAAUCAGAAUGGGAAAGGGAGCAAGGUAUAAGUAGAGGUGUUUCAGGGCCUGGAGGGACAAGUCGAAGCCAACCAAAAUUUGAUAGAUCAAAAAGCGUAUGACAAGAGCAUGGAGACCAACCUCAAGCUUCAUUCCCACAGUCACUCUAUAAAUCCAAUGCUGCAAAACAAAAGAGCAUCAUUGACUCCAUGUCAAUGGGAAGCCUCAAGGAGAAGCUUGGUCGAGUAUGUGGGAAGUUUUUCAUAUAUACCAAUGUCCUUGCGUACAAAGCGGAAUCUCAUGAGUACAAAAACAUGAUAAUUGGAGCACAAGAGUGUCCAAAUGUUCCUCUGCCAAGUUCGUUUCAGAUAAUGAACAAAUAUUUGGCCAUGGAACAUAAGGAAAUAACUGAAUAUAUAAAUAGCCAAAGAAAAAUGUGGAAAACAUAUGGCUGCACCAUAAUGGCUGAUGGGUGGUCCGGUCCAACAAGAAUGCAAGUUAUCAACUUCAUGGUUUACUGUAAGGGUAAGACUGUAUUUUUGAAGUCUGUCAAUGCAUCAAGUGAUAUAAGGGAGCACAAAUACCUUGCCAAGCUAUUUAAAGAUGUCAUUGAUGAAGUGGGGCAGGAGAAUGUGGUUCAAAUAUGUACUGAUAAUGGCUCAGCAUUUGUGAAGGCUGGUUGAUAGGAGUAUUUUAAUGCGACGUUUUAACUGUUAUUUCCCUAUAUUUUCUGCGUUAUUUCCUUAAUAAAACUCUGUUUAGGAAAGUUUCCAUUCUUCGAAUGGGAAAGUUCCUAAUUGUAGAAAG